CCCUAACCUCUUUUUACAAUGCGAAUAAUGGCCAUCAACACAACUUUAGUAGGACUGAGGCGACAAAAUAGGGAGGGCGUUUGGUUGAAUUUCCACGUCACGGACGGAAGAAGCGUAGAAUGGCAACAUUACUGAAAUUUGAACAAAAGAGUACUACAGGAACAUUGUUACUACGGAAGGGCUGCACGUCGGUCACAAACUGAGAUUUUAAAUUAUUACAUUCCUGCUUACAAGCGCAUCCAAAAACGAGGAAUUAAGUGAUAGUGCCUAUAUUUAAUUUUAUGGAACAGGAGAUUGUUCGAGAGGAAACGUUCCAUUGUUUCAUACUUAGACUCGACGCGAACCUUGAUGGGAAUGUGAGGGUUGUCCUUGAAUGUGGAUAUAUUUAAAUAAAAUCACGUUCUGUAGAGAAUGUAUUUCGCGCGCUUCGCUCAACUUAUGGUCAACAUAAUCAGCCUACUGACCAUACUAUUCGCAACACCAUCACCCAUCUUGAGACCCAGCAAUCAUCAAGGGAUAUUAUUCGACCGAAUAGACCACGUCCUGCACGCAGUAAAGAAAAUUAAGCAGCCAUAUUGUGUGAACCAUCUGUCCAUAUUUCUUCAAAAAUGAUGCCUAACAUUCAAGCUCUUGAUCUCGGCGACAUUUAGUUACAACAAGACGGCGGCGGCUCUCACAGAUCGGACCAAUCAAUUUGUUGAGAGAACAUUUCGGUGAGCAGACAAUUUCACGUUUUGGGCCGGUCGAUUGAGGAUAUGUAAAGCCCAAAGUCUUAGCAGACGAUCCCGCUUCGAUUAAGGCCUUGGAGCAAAUUAUUGCGUGUGACAUUCGCCAGUUACCACUCGAAACGCUUGAACGAGUCACCGAAAAUUGGACUCAACGGAUUGACCAUCUGAGACGUAGCCGCGGCCAACAUUUGAUAGAGACAAUCUAAAAAAAUAAAUGCCGAAGAAUGUUAUUUCGAAUGAUAAUAAACCUUCUACAUUAAAUAUGAA